CAAUCCCUGCCGCCUGCCCUAAUUUCCUGAUCCACGCAACCUGCCGAUGGCAGCUGUGCUCGCUCCUCCAUCCCGCCGGGCGCUGCUGCUGGGCAAGGCAGGGGCACGGCCGCACAGGUGAAGCUGCUGCGAGCUGCAGGCAUCACCUGUGCGCGAGCGGCUGCCGCAUGAAAUUCUAUUGGAGAACCUGGAAGAGAUGGAAGUUCCAAGAAGCAAGUUGAAUCUGUCAUCCACAGUCCCUGUCUUGGAAAGUGACUCGGGGAAAAACAAAUGGCAUCACCAGGGACAUAACCUCACCAUUAACUUUGCCAUCUGGAUUUGUGGUGGACCCUGGGCUGAAGAGGCUUUCAGAUCACCUCAGACCUGACAAUGAGGUUUUUAACAAUUUACCUGAACAAAAGUUUAAGACUGUUACUCUUAGAAUGUCUGUUUUGGAGGAUAAAGUCUCAGCAUUAGAGGCUUGAUUUAGUAUUUACUGAAGUUACAAAAGAAAAUAAAGAAGUAAAGAACAGGAUGGACGUUUUGGAGUACAAGCAAUGCACAAGAAAGCUUAGUAGAGUUGGUGUUCCUGAGUUCUUUUGUCUUGAAAGAUUCUAUAGCAUCCUUUUCCAAAGGGGUGCCAGCAGUACUGGGAUUGACUCACUCUGAGAUCUUUCUUCUAGUAUCAGUGAGAUUUUUGCUUCUCUUGUACCACUGACAACCUGCUGUGAGGAUAAUUCUCAUUACCCGUUCUGCGCUUAACACGAGAAGUAGGAUUUUGAAGGCCUCCAGAAUCUUGAGUGAAGUAAGGUGUCAAGGAAAGAAAAUCCUGUCUUCACCGUGUCUCAAAGAUCCAGAAGCUGUUAAAGCAGUUGACACUAAAAAAGGCUUGCAAACUUUUACUUAUUUGCCACAGUCAUGGUGUGGUUCCAUCAGUAUGAGGGGGGGCUACUAAUGGACUCGGCCUCAGAAUCUAUCCCCUGCAUCUGCCUAGUAGUAGGGCGUUGUGAAAGCCCCUGAAGAGAAGGGAGAGGGAGAGCGUAACCAUCCAGGAGAGAAAUUGAGAGCUCUCAUUGCAAUUAUGCCUUCCUACAACAAUGUCACCUGGGAUGCUGCUGGAAAUUGAAAAUGCUCUAACGGCCAGGCGCCCUUCAAUUAAAACUGUUACUAUUUCUAAUUAGCUCCCUGCCAUGUUUUCAUUGUAACUCUGAGAAGUUUUAUAGGUGGAAUAGAUGGGGAGUUGUCAUCAUUACAAGAAUGGCAUUGCAUUUAGAAAUUCCAUUAUUACAGUGGCAAAAAUGAAAAAUUAAUAGAAAAAAAGAACGAAACUGGUGUGUUUUUAGCUGGUGAAACUUUCUGGUUCUCUUAUAUUACCUCAGCACAAUGGUAUGAUAUUUGGGUUGCAAAUGAUGCAGGAGAACUUUAAACCCUUGGUCCCUCCACCCCGGCAAACAGCCAGCCAAACCAAACAAGUCCAAAAACUCUUUUCAGUAGUCCAGAUCCUGAGGUCCCAUCUCAGUUUUUUACUCAAAUAGACUGAGUAAGGGAACACAGGGUUUUCGCCCAGUUAAAACAUUUCAGUGUUUACUAGAUACUUAUUUUUGUUUGUUUAUGUACAAAAUCUAAAUUAGAGGACUAAUUUCAAAGUUAACUUUUUUUCCCUGCAACUCAAAGCAAAUUUACACAGGAAAUGGAUGCAUUACUGAAAUAGUUUUUAAUAAAGAGUCCCCCAGAGUUGAUGCUGAAAAUGGGAAAGAACAGAAAAACUUUGCCUGAUGCUGUGGAAGCAUGUGGUUGAAACUGGAUGUUUUGAGCCAAAACUUAAAGGUAUUCAUAAAUCCAGGAAUUCAUACCACAAUGUCAUUUACAUUGCAAGGCCAAGAAGCCCAACAUUUCAAGAGAAUCUGACUUGUUGCUAUGUCUCAUCUUCAAGUUCAGCAGACACCUCAGAACUAAGUUUAGUUCAUGAAAGAAUGUGUCUGCCUGAAUGACAAGAGGUUACUUUCAGCUGCUAGCAUUGCAUAAGAAGCAGACAUUUUUCUUCAUCCUCUCCGCUAGGAACCCAGACCCACAUUCUCAAAGAUAGUCAGGCACUUAUCUCCCAUUGAAAUCAAGAGGUGUUAGUUGUCUAAAUACCUUUGAGGAUCUGGGCCCUGUACUUUGGUCUUCUGUCCCUGCACCUUGAUCUGAAAUAGCCCAUAUCCAUUGACCUUUAAUCCAUGGACAUUAUAAAGGCCACAUCUAUUUCUAUGCUUUUGGGCAGUUUAGGAUGCAUAGAGGCUGGGAUUGGUGGUUUGGAUGUCUUUUUUCCCCCAUCCUGGUAUUGGGAAGGCUGCUGCAUUUGUUAUAUGUUUGAGUAUGAUUGUAUUUUUUAAUAUCUGGCAAAGGCAUGGAGGUGUUUAACAUUUUAUAUAAAUUCAAAUGAAUAAUAGUAUUACAACAUGUGCAUCCUGGGGAUGAAUGUAUGGUUGUGUAGACCAUGUCGACAGGUGAGCUUCCUCAACCAUGGGAUGCUGUUCUGGGAAGGAGGACAGCUUAAAAGAGAUGGUGUCCACCUCACCACAAAAGAGAAGAGCAUCUUCACGUACCAACUCACCAACCUAGUGAGGAGUCUUUUAAACCAGGAUCAAAGGGGCAGGUGACAAAAGUCCAUAGGUAAGCAUAAAAAAAAAGAUGACCUUAACAGAGUGCUAAAUAUUGGGGAGGACACGGAAAAUUACAGCAGGGUCGUAGGAGCAACAAGAGAGAAAUCAGUGGAGGAAUCGCCUCAACGUUUUAGAUGUCUAUGUAUCUUUGGAGGACAGUUUGCAUAUACUUUGGAGGACAACAUGAGAAUUCAAAAUGACCAUGACAAAUUAGAUAAUUGGUCUGAAAUCAAUAUGAUGAAAUUAAGUAAAGAAAAAUCAAAUGCCCAGCUACCACAUAGAGAAUAACUGGCUAGGUGUUAGUAUUGCUGAAAAGGAUCUGGGGGUUAUAGUGGAUCACAAAUUAAAUAUGAACCAACAAUGAGAUGCAGUUCUCUAAUAGGCUAAUAUCAUUCUGUGGUGUAUUAACAGGAGUGUCAUAUGUAAGACCUGGGAGGUAAUUGUCCUGCACUGCUUGGCACUGGUGAGGCCUCAGCUGGAGUACUGGCCCCGAUUCUGGGUGCCAUACUUCAGGAAAGAUGUGGAUACUGGAGAGAGUCCAGAGGAGAGGAACAAAAAUGAUAAAAGUUUAGAAAACCUGAUCUAUGAGCAAAGGUUAAAUAAACUGGCAUGUUUAGUCUUGAGAAAAGAAGACGGAGGGGAAAUGAAAAUAAUUGUCAAAUAUGUUAAAGGCUGUUAUAUAGAGGACUGUGAUCAAUGGUUCUCCAUGUCCACUGUAUGUAAGACAAGAAAUGAUGGACUUCAUCUGCGCCAAGGGAGAUUUAGGUUAGAUAUUAGGAAAAACUUUCUAAUGAUAAGGGUAUUAAACUCUGAAAUAAGCUUACAAGGGAGUUGUGAAAUCCCCAUAAUUGAAGGUUUAUAAGAACAAGUUGAAUAAACAUCUCUUAGGGAUGGUCUAAGUUUACUUGGUCCUGCCUCAGCACAGUGGUUGGACUAGAUGAUCUCUUGAGGUCCCUCCCAGCCCUACAUUUGUAUGGUGUCCCUAGCCUCUGUUUGCUAGAAGCUGGGAUUGGGUGACAGGGCAUGGAUCACUUGGUGAGAAACUGUCUGUUCAGUCCCUUUGGGGCCACUGUCAGAGGACAGGAUACGGGGCUUGAUGGACCUUUUGUCUGACCCAGUAUGGCUGUUCUUAUGUUAUUAUUAUCCUUUUAUGAAUUAAACUAAAAUGGGUACUGACACUAUUCAUUCACCACAUGAGCUGUUAAAAAUGUAUACACAUGCAUGAGAGUUAGGGGAUGGUCCUGAGAGGGACUGAACAUCUGCAGCUUUCCCUGACUUCUAAGAGAGUCACAUGGCUUUGAAUUCAGGGCAUGAUCAUGUGAAUUACACACCCUUAUAGGGAAGUGUACAACUCCAGGCAGCAGAAUUCUGUAGGGCCAGCCAGCUAAGUUCUUUUUGAGCAAGGAUAGAGCAUCACCUCCAUUUAGCUCAAGGCCAGAGGGUUGCCUGCAAGUUGUGGAGAGGUGUAGGGCUUGUGAUCUCAUGCCACUCAGUAGCUGCUUAUAUAACUCACUGCAGGGCAGGAUGCUCAAUAAUGCUAUCAUGCAGAUCUUCAGGAAUGAUAGGAGAGGCAGCCUUUGUUACCCCUUCUUCUCAUUCUCUGUCUGGUUAUUGAUGGCAACAGUAGCCACAACAUAUUGAAGCCCUAACCGAAGAACAACAUUGGCUAAAUAUCCAUAUUAUUUAAUUAAAAUAGAGAAAGUUUCCCUCACAGCCAUUGUUUAUGCUGUUGUAUCACAGCAACACUGUUUAUGGCAUUUAUAUAAACCCCAGUUAAUCAACCUUCAGUUAGCCAAAAUUCCUGGUGAACUAAGGAUCAGUCAUGCUUCUCUAUCCUAAACCUUUUUUUUCCUAAAGGUUUCUCAUGCCUCUGAAACCCUUAGGAAAAACAGGGCUAUACUGUGCUUGAAAUAAACAGUUUUUGCAGUUCAUCAAACAUUUGAUCUUUGCUUCAAUGUUUAAUGAGCCUCAAGCACUAUUUAUUGCUCUGUUUCAGUGCUGUUAAUGUGAUCCAUGGAAUAGCGUCAAUCACUGAUGAAACAGCAGCAUCAAAAUGACCUUCAUGUGUUAUCACAGUAAAUAAGACUUUUUUUGAUCUUAUUCAUAUUUCCAACACACUGCCAAAAUAUUUUGUUUUUUUCAUCCAUGAGGUGAAGAGAGCCUGUAGGAGAAAGUGCUCCAAAGGUUGAACGCUAUAAUGGGAAUUUCCUGAGAGGAGGAGCUGUCCUAUUGGUGAAGAUAUUUUUCAAGGGGAUACCUUGCUGCCUGUGAGAUAUGUAGAAGACAACUCUACCACCCACUGGUCCAACAUAUACACACAUCACUUAGUAAUUUUCUUGUCUUUGGGGAAAAGCCUGCUUCAGGAAAAGGCAGUAUUUGACAAAUAAUACACACUACCUGCACACAAAAACAUUGUCAACACCCCCUCUAUUUGCCUACAAUCUACUCCUAGAAAUACAGUACAGUGGUCCCAUCAAUAAUUAGUGAUAAGGAUAACAAAAUGAAAACCCUACCAGUAGAGAGAGCCAAAUCUUCACUCAACUACCGUAUUUGCAACGCCUCCCAUUCUCCAGCCCUGUUGGCGAGUAGACGUUACAGAAAAAAAAAGCUGGACAUGAGGUGUCUUAUGUCACCAGAUCCCGCUGUUCCCUUCCCGUUUCUUUUCCUCCCCUCACAAUUUCUCAAUGGAGCCCAUUGCCAGUGCUACUCCCACUCUGUGCAGAAGUUCCUCAACUGAUCCUGCUCUCUGUUUCCUCUGUAACAUUCUAUCCAUAUCGUAAAACUCUGAUGGCUUCCAUUACUCCAAGCUUUCAUUGUUUUGUUCCUUCCUUGCCCUGAAAUUCCUUCAGUUCCCAUUCCAUCUGCAGCUUCCAUCCCUAACUGAACCUAUUGCCCAUUAUUAGGGAUGGAGAAAAGGUGGGGUAAAACUUUUACAAGUCAGCAUUCUAUGGGAAAUACGUUCACGGGGUGGAUGGGAAACAAAGGCUUCAUGUAAUAUAGAACUUCAAAACCUUAGAUCUCUGCAAGUAUUACAGAUCAAUGGCCAAAGUGCACACUGGUACAAGAGAGAAAGGGCAGAGAUAACAUCCUUUACCAUAACAGUGUCUAGGUACUUUGGUAUAUUUAUUUACCAUUGAGGUCUCCUUUAAACCUCACAUGCAUGCCUCAUUUAGAGAUUGCGCUGUUUUGUACAUGAGCUAGAGACCUUACAAUGUGUACAUUUUGAUAAAUCAUUAAAUAAAUACCAUUUCAAAAAGAA